rnacentral:lncRNA from 1 species
GAGGGCUGGAUGCAGAAGUUGAAGAUUGCAAUGCUAUGAUGCUAGGUUUUCUUAGCUGAUUCUGACAUUUUCUUUUUUUCCUUUUUUAAUAAUUGAACAAGGUUUCACAAAGUUGACUAUGGCCAAGGCAGAGCAACUUUCUAGGAAGCUUUGUUGAAAGAAAGUAUGGCAUAUUGCACCAUUACCUUGGCUUGUAGCCUCUGAGCUUGCCACCAUGGGCUUUCCAGGCACCUUCCUCCUAAGACACAGCUGCUGGGAGAGGCAGGCAAGCAAUUUAGAGGUGACAACAUAGGGAAUGGUUUUAUUUAUUUCUUUUGUGCCAGCCAGAAUGUGGAUUCUUUCAGGGACUGGUUAAGCCAAGACGCAGUGUUUUUGCUCACUGUUUUUAAGGAGAGAAUGAAUGAUCCUUGCCUCUCACUCCCCAACCCCUGGGUGCAGAAUUGUAUCUCAGGGUUGGACCUCCGUUUAGAGUGCUCAAAAUACCAAAAUUAUCCACCUGCCUCUGGGUAAGGUAACGGAAAUACCAAACCUUCUGACUUUGCCAAAAACUGUGCAAGCAAUCUGGUCAUACCCAGAGCAUGAUGCAGUUCAGUUUGGUUGUUUGUAAACAAUAAAGCAAUAAGAAUAAACAAAAUGCACAGGACAUUAAAAGAUAUAAACAAAGCACAAAGGAAUGUAACUUGUUAAUAUUUCUGAAAAAAAAUGCACUGGGGAGAAGUUGAUGUUGAUAAUAGUAUAAAAAUUACCCAACUUCUUGACAAAGACAACAAAUGACUGUCUCUUGCAGACACUUGCUACUGUAAUGUCAAUAACAGCCCCCCGCUGUUGGGUACAGCAAUACUUUCUGUAUGGUCCGCAGCACUGUAUAUUAUGAUUGAUAUUAAUGUAUCCAAUGAAAUAAUUGAACUGUUGUUCUUCAUAGCCUCAUUAAAGCAUUUGGUUUUUCACAUUG